UUGAGUGCAGAAGAGGAAAGUGGAAUUCCAAGUGUAGCGGUGAAAUGCGUAGAUAUUUGGAGGAACACCAGUGGCGAAGGGGACUUUUUGGUUUGUAAAUGACACUGAGGCGCGAAAGCGUGGGGAGCAAACAGGAUUAGAUACCCUGGUAGUUCACGCCGUAAACGAUGAGUGGUAAGUGUUAGAGGGUUUUCGCCCUUUAGUGGUGCAGGUAAAGCAUUAAGCACUCCGCCUGGGGAGUACGGUCGCAAGAGUGAAAAUCAAAGGAAUUGACGGGGGCCCGCACAAGCGGUGGAGCAUGUGGUUUAAUUUGAAGCAACGCGAAGAACCUUACCAGGUUUUGACAUCCUUUGACAACCCUAGAGAUAGGGCUUUCCCCUUCGGGGGACAGAGUGACAGGUGGUGCAUGGUUGUGGUCAGCUCGUGUCGUGAGAUGUUGGGUUAAGUCCCGCAACGAGCGCAACCCUUGAUUUUAGUUGCCAGCAUUCAGUUGGGCAUUUUAAGAUGACUGCCGGUGACAAACCGGAGGAAGGUGGGGAGGAGGUCAAAUCAUCAUGCCCCUUAUGACCUGGGUUACACACGUGUUACAAUGGACGGUACAAAGGGCAGAGAGACCGGGAGGUUUAGCCAAUCCCAUAAAACCGUUUUCAGUUCGGAUUGCAGGUUGCAAUUCGCCUGCAUGAAGCUGGAAUCGUUAGUAAUCGGGGAUCAGCAUGCCGCGGUGAAUACGUUCCCGGCCCUUGUACACACCGCCCGUCACACCACGAGAGUUUGUAACACCCGAAGUCGGUGAGGUAACCU
rnacentral:rRNA from 2 species